AGCGAACGCUGGCGGCAGGCCUAACACAUGCAAGUCGAACGAUCCUCCGGGAUAGUGGCGGACGGGUGAGUAACACGUGGGAACGUACCUUUAGGUUCGGGAUAACUCAGGGAAACUUGAGCUAAUACCGGAUAAGCCCUUUUGGGGAAAGAUUUAUCGCCUUUAGAGCGGCCCGCGUUAGAUUAGCUAGUUGGUGAGGUAAAGGCUCACCAAGGCUCCGAUCUAUAGCUGGUCUGAGAGGAUGAUCAGCCACACUGGGUCUGAGACACGGCCCAGACUCCUACGGGAGGCAGCAGUGGGGAAUUUUGCGCAAUGGGCGAAAGCCUGACGCAGCCAUGCCGCGUGAAUGAUGAAGGUCUUAGGAUUGUAAAAUUCUUUUAGCAGGGACGAUAAUGACGGUACCUGCAGAAAAAGCCCCGGCUAACUUCGUGCCAGCAGCCGCGGUAACAC
rnacentral:rRNA from 1 species